GUUAAUUGCUGAAUCUGCACCUGAAAAGAAGACGUCUCUCACUCGACCCGAUCGAGGCAGCUAUUAUAAGAAAGCAGUCACAUCAAAUAAUGGCUGAAAGGAAGCUGCGAAGGAGAAAGGCCAAGCCACUGGAGGAGGCCAUCCAGUUUUCACUUCUGGGGAAGGACAGAAAUGGGCUUGAGUGCAAAUUUAUCAAUGAUAUUAAAGGCAGAGGUGUGUUCAGCUGUACUGAGUUUGAAAAAGGGAAUUUCCUGCUGGAAUACAGAGGUGAACUUAUAAG